GGCAAAAUGAUUAGGAACAUAUUUUCUACUGAGGAUGUAAAUGCAGGACAAAUCGUUAAGGAAUUCUUCGUUUAUGAUCUUAGUGCA
rnacentral:snoRNA from 12 species